AAGGCCGAGAGCUGAUGACGAGUUGCCUUUAGGCGACGAAGUGGUUGAUGCCAUGCUUCCAAGAAAAGCUCCUAAGCUUCAGAUAACUGGGAACCGUACCCCAAACCGACACAGGUGGUUAGGUAGAGAAUACCAAGGCGCUUGAGAGAACUCGGGUGAAGGAACUAGGCAAAAUGGCACCGUAACUUCGGGAGAAGGUGCGCCGGCGAGGGUUAAGGACUUGCUCCGUAAGCCCAUGCCGGUCGAAGAUACCAGGCCGCUGCGACUGUUUAUUAAAAACACAGCACUCUGCAAACACGAAAGUGGACGUAUAGGGUGUGACGCCUGCCCGGUGCCGGAAGGUUAAUUGAUGGGGUUAGCGCAAGCGAAGCUCUUGAUCGAAGCCCCGGUAAACGGCGGCCGUAACUAUAACGGUCCUAAGGUAGCGAAAUUCCUUGUCGGGUAAGUUCCGACCUGCACGAAUGGCGUAACGAUGGCGGCGCUGUCUCCACCCGAGACUCAGUGAAAUUGAAAUCGCUGUGAAGAUGCAGUGUAUCCGCGGCUAGACGGAAAGACCCCGUGAACCUUUACUAUAGCUUUGCACUGGACUUUGAAUUUGCUUGUGUAGGAUAGGUGGGAGGCUUUGAAGUGGGGACGCCAGUUCUCAUGGAGCCAUCCUUGAAAUACCACCCUGGCAACUUUGAGGUUCUAACUCAGGUCCGUUAUCCGGAUCGAGGACAGUGUAUGGUGGGUAGUUUGACUGGGGCGGUCUCCUCCCAAAGAGUAACGGAGGAGUACGAAGGUGCGCUCAGACCGGUCGGAAAUCGGUCGUAGAGUAUAAAGGCAAAAGCGCGCUUGACUGCGAGACAAACACGUCGAGCAGGUACGAAAGUAGGUCUUAGUGAUCCGGUGGUUCUGUAUGGAAGGGCCAUCGCUCAACGGAUAAAAGGUACUCCGGGGAUAACAGGCUGAUACCGCCCAAGAGUUCAUAUCGACGGCGGUGUUUGGCACCUCGAUGUCGGCUCAUCACAUCCUGGGGCUGAAGCCGGUCCCAAGGGUAUGGCUGUUCGCCAUUUAAAGUGGUACGCGAGCUGGGUUUAGAACGUCGUGAGACAGUUCGGUCCCUAUCUGCCGUGGACGUUUGAGAUUUGAGAGGGGCUGCUCCUAGUACGAGAGGACCGGAGUGGACGAACCUCUGGUGUUCCGGUUGUCACGCCAGUGGCAUUGCCGGGUAGCUAUGUUCGGAAGAGAUAACCGCUGAAAGCAUCUAAGCGGGAAACUUGCCUCAAGAUGAGAUCUCACUGGGAUCUUGAAUCCCCUAAAGGGCCGUCGAAGACUACGACGUUGAUAGGUUGGGUGUGUAAGCGCUGUGAGGCGUUGAGCUAACCAAUACUAAUUGCCCGUGAGGCUUGACCA
rnacentral:rRNA from 3 species